UCGCCUGGCUUUUUGAAGCUUUCAGCUGGCUCUGAGGGCCAUAUCCUGUUCCAGCUGUAUCUGCACAAGUGCUGAGACUGCUGCAGGAGAACACUGGUGGGGAAAUUUGUCUGUGAAUUUUCAAAAAGACUGAAGAUGAUCAGUGCUGGGAAACCUGAGCUGUUGGCUGUCUCAUUUAAGAAAAUUGUUCCGAGUUCAUCAUUGUUCUCCAUGAAGUGUAGCAGAGUCCUUUGCUAGUAUGUGACCAGUGGCACUGAGACAAAGGAUGAUCUUCAGAACGUGUUAACUGCGGGGGAGCCGGGGGGGCAAAUUUCACAGAGGUCACAGAGAAGGGUCUGUCCCAGCUCAGUGGGUAAGUGAUCUCCCUGCAGGAGAGAGCAAAUCCUGCUUUUUCAUACCUGAGUUUCUUAUUUGCUCGUGAUGUGACAGUAUAAAAGACAAUCAAAAUUAGUUAAUAUAUUCAAUCUUUUUUUCUUGAUAAGUCAUUUCAAUUACUGAAAAUGACUGUAUUUUACAACGUUAAAAUACUGCACUGAGUUAUCAGUAUUCUAGUGUACUCUUUCAUGUUCAAAAUGUGGAAGGGAACUCCUAGAAGACAACUUCCUGUAUUUAAU
rnacentral:lncRNA from 1 species